UACGUAGGCAGCAAGCGUUGUUCGGAAUUACUGGGCGUAAAGAGUGUGUAGGCGGUGCUCUAAGUUCGGUGUGAAAUCUCCCGGCUCAACUGGGAGGGUGCGCCGGAAACUGGGGUGCUGGAGCGCGGGAGAGGAAAGCGGAGUUCCUGGUGUAGCGGUGAAAUGCGUAGAUAUCAGGAGGAACACCUGCGGUGUAGACGGCUUUCUGGACCAUUGCUGACGCUGAGACACGAAAGCGUGGUAGCAAACAGG
rnacentral:rRNA from 1 species